GUCCAGGAGCGGGAAUCGAACGUACAACCUUCUGCUUACCGGGCAGGUGCCAUGCCCACUAGGCUAUCCUGGA